GCCGCUGUAGCUCAGGCAGAGCAGCAGGGUGUCUAAACCUGUGUUACAUUCACGAUACGAAGUCUGGGGUCUGGGCGGGGUAGUGUCCUGCGCAGCGCCUUUCCGACCGGGUGCCGGUUCGACUCCGGCCAGCGGCUCCA
rnacentral:tRNA from 1 species